AUGGCUGCCCGCGCGCUGGUCGCACCCCCUCUGCCUCCUCCCCCCCGUCUGGGCACCAUGCGGGCAACCCCGCGCGCCGCCGCCGGUCUCAGCUCAGCGCUGACCGGUCACCGGGGAAGGCACACUUUGUGUUCAGUGCAAUUGACGGAAUCCCCCAGUGGCAAUCUUCAGGUGGAAGCAAACUCGUCUCAUUCCCCAACUCAACUGAUGUCUACAGGACGUGAUGACUCAGCCAUAACAUGUAAAGGAUUCUGUACGAUAUCAUGGAGCGUUAAAGCAGAUGUUAUGGAUGGUCACAUUAUCUUCAUGACAGGUGAUCCAGUUACCCUGGGUUGUUGGGAACCUGAUAUGGCUGUUCAGUUGAAUCCUUCUGUGAAAAGUAGCAAUAAAUGGACGGCUGUAAUCAAGGUACCAUAUGGCGUGCAUUUCAAGUAUAAUUAUUUUGUUCGAGAGGGAAAAAAUUCCUCUAAUGACAUCGUAUGGAGGCCUGGACCUGAGUGCUCCUUAUCGAUACCUUCUGUUAGCCAGAAAAAUCAUGUCAUCCUUGUAAAAGAUCAGUGGAUGGAAACCAGUGUGGCAGGUAUUUCCUCUCCUUCCUGGGGAUCGUGGCUGAUGGAAGCUGAUUCUGUUGAAGAUCAAAUUGCUGAGAGAGGGAAGCAUGAGAGCAUUGUGAAAGCCCACUCUGUUAUAGAUAUGGUGGACGGAGCUUCAUCUGUAGGUGAGCAUAUUAUAAUGAGACUUUGGAAUGGCACACCUUUAGCUUCAGUCAGUCCAUCCAUCAGUGUGCAUGAUGAUUUUGCUGCAGCUGAUAAAUCAAAUGCAAUUAAAGUAAGUGUAAACCAGCAUGAGAUAAAUCAGCCUGUUGAGGAGCCAUGGGUUUUUGGACCUAUCGUCUCAGCAAAGAACUCUGUUGCACAAGUGAAACGCAAGAAAGACAGAAGGAAGUUUUUGAAUACGGAAAAGGAUUCAGGUGAAAUAACUGAAAACAUGCCUGAACAGGACCAGCCUGUGGAGGAGCCAUGGUUAUUUCAGUCUUGGGUGACAGCAAACAGAGCUGGUGUUAUAUCAAAACGGAAAGUAGAAGCAAAGGGUAUUAUGAAAAGGUUAAAAGAAUUUGAUAAACCCUCAGCAGCUUCUGAGAAGGAUAUGCUCGCCAGUGGUGAACCGCCAAGAGUCAUAUUAAUUAACUCCUCUAUCUGCAGUACACAGAGAAUUGCAGUAUUGGAAGAUGGGAAAUUAGUUGAACUCUUGCUGGAGCCCAUAAAAAACAAUGUACAUUGUGACAGUAUUUAUUUAGGUAUAAUAACAAAACUUGUGCCUCACAUGGGAGGUGCUUUUGUCGACAUUGGAAUUUUGAGACCUUCACUUAUGAGCAUAAAGCAAAACCGUGAUCCAUUUGUGUAUCCUCAAAUUGUCAAGGAUAUUAAAGGAGGUUCUGCUAAUGAUUCUGGUUAUAAUGAUGAGAGCCUUCUGACAUACGAUGAUGAUGAUGAUGUUGAUGAUGAUAUGGCUGACAACGAGUUUGCAGAUGAAGAAAAUGACGAUGAUUCAUCAACAUUUCUGGCUCAGAAUGUUAAGGAAAAUGAAGAAGGCUUGGACAUUGUGUCCCAUUCUAAUAUAAAGAAGAUUGAUGGUGCUGAAUUUGAAAAUGUCUCUGGUUGGGAUGAUGAAAUUGAUGAUCAUGUGGAAGAUGAAUACAAUGAUGAUCACUCACCAGGAGAUCGGUGGUCUCAAGUUCGCAAGGGCACAAAGAUCAUGGUUCAAGUUGUCAAGGAGGGAUUGGGCACGAAAGGUCCAACACUGAGUCCCUUUCCAUGCUUAAGAAGCCGAUUUUGGAUAUUGGUCUCUCGUGGCAACAAAGUUGGAGUUUCAAAAAAGAUUACUGGGAUAGAACGCACCCGGUUGAAGGGCAUUACAAAGUUAUUACGACCUCCUGGAUUUACUCUGACGGCUCGUACAGUUGCCGCUGGCCAUUCUUGGGAGGAGUUAAACAAGGACCUUGAUCGGUUGUUAUCUACCUGGAAAGGAAUAACUGAACAUGCUCAAUCUGCUGCCCUAGCUGCCGAGGAGGGUGUGGAAGGUGCUAUUCCUGUUAUGUUGUAUAGAUCAAAGGGCCAGGCUCUAUCUAUUGUUCAAGAUGAUUUUAAUGAGAAGGUCAAGAGGUUGGUUGUGGAUUCUCCUCGCACCUACCAUGAGGUUACGGGCUAUCUCCAAGAGGUUGCACCUGAGCUCUGCAAUCGAGUCGACCUCUACGAGAAAAGAACUCCCAUAUUCGAUGAAUAUAAGAUUGAAAAGGAGAUCGACAAUAUUCUCUGCAAAAGGGUUGUGCUACAGAAUGGGGGUUCUUUAAUUAUAGAACAGACUGAAGCUCUAGUUUCCAUUGAUGUGAAUGGUGGCCACAGUAUGUUUGGUCAAGGGACGUCGCAGGAGAAGGCUAUUUUAGAUGUCAAUCUUGAAGCUGCAAAGCAAAUUGCUCGCGAGCUGCGCUUGAGGGAUAUUGGUGGCAUCAUUGUUGUUGAUUUUAUCGACAUGACGGACGAUUCAAACAAAAGAUUAGUCUAUGAAGAAAUGAAGAAAGCAGUAGAAAAGGACCGCUCAACCGUUGGUGUUUCAGAAUUGUCAAAGCUAGGUUUGAUGGAAAUAACUAGAAAAAGGGUUCGACCAAGUGUUACUUUCAUGAUCAGCGAGCCUUGUCCAUGUUGCCAUGGUAUUGGUCGUGUUGAAGCUCUUGAUACGUCCUUUUCUAAGAUAGAACGUGAAAUCUGUCGACGCCUGGCCGUCUCUGGUCAUAAAUCAGAUCCAGAGAAACCAAAAUCGUGGCCAAGAUUUUUGCUUAGGGUGGACCAUGAGAUGUGCACGUACUUGACAUCAGGCAAAAGGACUAAAUUAGGGAUCCUUAGUAGCUCCCUCAAAGUUUGGGUUUUGUUGAAGAUUGCUCGAGGUUUUACACGGGGUGCAUUUGAAUUGCUACCAUAUUCUGAUCAGAAGGACACAGAUGAGCAGAAGGAAUUAUCACCAGAGUCACCACUUCCAAGGGAAGCAGGAAGACCGAGACUGUCUGUUUUUCCUAUAAAGAAAUGGAUGAGCCGUGCAAAGCGAGCCAAGUGA
rnacentral:rRNA from 1 species